GACGGAGGGUGCUAGCGUUGUUCGGAAUCACUGGGCGUAAAGGGCGCGUAGGCGGCUUCAGGUGUCGGAUGUGAAAGUCCAGGGCUCAACCCUGGGAUGCCGGUCGAUACUGCCGGACUAGAGUUCGGAAGAGGCGAGUGGAAUUCCCGGUGUAGCGGUGAAAUGCGCAGAUAUCGGGAGGAACACCUAUGGCGAAGGCAGCUCGCUGGGACGUUACUGACGCUGAGACGCGAAAGCGUGGGGAGCAAACAGG
rnacentral:rRNA from 1 species